AUAAUCACCCUGAUUGUAUUUCAGAAAUUCUGGAUAUACGAGAAGUAGCACGUACCACUAAUAUCCAUUGAGCUUCCAAUUUAAAAAAUUUACCGGCGCAAUUAAUACAGGAGGGAUUUUGUGGAAAAAUCAUAUUAUGCUUGAAACAUCAAUCAUAUGGUUUUGUGCUGUUUUCGUGAAGAGAUUGUACGCAAAUGUUUUGAAGCUUUGUACAAACAUUUGGGAUGCUUCCAAUUUUUUUGGAUUACAUGUGCACUUACAGAACAUUCACAAUUCACUGCCCGAAGGUAUUGUACGCCAUAUUUGAAAAUAGUUAAAUGCAGAAAAAAAUCACUUUAUUAUCAUUACUAUCGUUUCUGCUAUUAUUAUAUUAGAUAUUUGCAAAAAUUGUCAUCAGCAAUCUUGUAACGUCCGCGUGUAUGUGAGUAGGAGAUUUCCGUCAGUCGGCUUUGUUCCUGCACUUCACAAAUAGAAUAGAGUAAUUCGUAAUAACGGAAUUCCGUUAGUUAAGUUCUGUUUUCGUAAUUCUCCGCUUACAUAGUAGCACUAUCUAGAGAGAGAAUUAUGGAAAGAAAACAAAGUCUGAAGCCCGUCUCUAUCCCAUAAGUGUAGUUUCUUUGAAAUGAAAUUAGCGUGGAGGAGUCGAAGUGUAUCAUCGCGAGAGGUUGGACGUCGGCAGAGAAGAAAACCCUCAGGCAGAACCCACCCUUACGUGUUAGAAAUCAGGUCAUUACUUUAUAGCCUCAAAUCUGACGCACUUUGUUCUCAUUUUUAUGGGUGCCCAGCUACAUGAACAUUCUUGACAACACCACUGCAGAUUUGAGGGCAAUCGACAAAAAACUUUCCGUUUUUCUUGGCAACAGCAAUGGAACAAUUCACCUUAUGAUCGUCACGCUAUUAUACGCUCUCUUUCCACAAAUAAAUAAAACUCCUUGGUUUGUCACUAGCGGACUUAGGCGUGAUAUUAUUUGCCUUAUUAACAAGCUGACGUUUAAUCAGAGGAGAUGUAAUAAUCAUCUAUUCAAAAUUAACAUAGUGUAUUCACUUUAUGUACAAGUGAGGCCUUACAAUAUCCUG